rnacentral:rRNA from 1 species
CAGUCGCCGCGGUAAUACGGAGGGCGCGAGCGUUACCCGGAUUUACUGGGCGUAAAGGGCGUGUAGGCGGCCUGGGGCGUCCCAUGUGAAAGGCCACGGCUCAACCGUGGAGGAGCGUGGGAUACGCUCAGGCUAGAGGGUGGGAGAGGGUGGUGGAAUUCCCGGAGUAGCGGUGAAAUGCGCAGAUACCGGGAGGAACGCCGAUGGCGAAGGCAGCCACCUGGUCCACUUCUGACGCUGAGGCGCGAAAGCGUGGGGAGCAAAUCGGAUUAGAUACCCCAGUAGUCCCUGUCUCUUAUAC